GGAGGGAUGGCCGAGUGGCUGAAGGCGCACGCUUGGAAAGCGUGUUUACGUUAACCCGUAACGUGGGUUCGAAUCCCACUCCCUCCGCCA
rnacentral:tRNA from 1 species